AUGGAGGAUGCCACAAUAAUUUCCGGCCCUAAUUUUUCCAGUUCCUGCUUCAGUUCCGCAGCGAAGUUGUUCCUUACAUCUGAUGCCUUCCCAUGUGCGACCAAGUUAUCCUUCGAUGGUAUUCCUGUGAUGCCGUCAGCAUUCCCUCGAGGAGCCGCCCCAAGGCUUAAACACCUUGAGUUUUCCUUCCGAGCUAAGUGGAUCACCCAUGACGACGUGGAUUUGGGCAUGGGGCACCUCCCUUCCCUCCAGACCGUCAGGGUCCAGCUUCACACUUUUAAAUCCAGCAUUUUGGAGGUGAAGAAAACACAGGCUGCGCUGAAGGCUGCAGCGAGGGACCAUCCCAACCGCCCGGACAUUAGUAUCCGAAAUGGAAUUGUUUUGUUUCAAAUCAAGGGCUCGAGUCAUCAAAAUCCUGCACACAGUUAG
rnacentral:rRNA from 1 species